rnacentral:rRNA from 1 species
CCAACAGGGAUUGCCCUAGUAACGGCGAGUGAAGCGGCAACAGCUCAAAUUUGAAAUCUGGCGCAAGCCCGAGUUGUAAUUUGUAGAGGAUGCUUCUAGGUAGCGACCGGUCUAAGUUCCUUGGAACAGGACGUCAUAGAGGGUGAGAAUCCCGUAUGUGACCGGCCCGCACCUUCUACGUAGCUCCUUCGACGAGUCGAGUUGUUUGGGAAUGCAGCUCUAAAUGGGAGGUAAAUUUCUUCUAAAGCUAAAUACCGGCCAGAGACCGAUAGCGCACAAGUAGAGUGAUCGAAAGAUGAAAAGCACUUUGGAAAGAGAGUUAAAAAGCACGUGAAAUUGUUGAAAGGGAAGCGCUUACAACCAGACUUCUGGGCGGUGUUCCGCCGGUCUUUUGACCGGUCUACUCGCCGUCCCGAGGCCAACAUCAUCUGGGACCGCUGGAUAAGACCUUAGGAAUGUAGCUCCCCUCGGGGAGUGUUAUAGCCUGUGGUGAUGCAGCGCGUCUCGGGUGAGGUCCGCGCUUCGGCAAGGAUGUUGGCGUAAUGGUUGUCAGCGGCCCGUCUUGAAACACGGACCAAGGAGUCUAACAUCUAUGCGAGUGUUCGGGUGUCAAACCCCUACGCGUAAUGAAAGUGAACGGAGGUGGGAAGGGUAACCUGCACCAUCGACCGAUCCUGAUGUCCUCGGAUGGAUUUGAGUAAGAGCAUAGCUGUUGGGACCCGAAAGAUGGUGAACUAUGCCUGAAUAGGGUGAAGCCAGAGGAAACUCUGGUGGAGGCUCGCAGCGGUUCUGACGUGCAAAUCGAUCGUCAAAUUUGGGUA